UUGGUGGAGGGUUUGAUCCUGGCUCAGGACGAACGCUGGCGGCGUGCCUAACACAUGCAAGUCGAGCGGGCUAUAGGGCAUAAGUUCGCUUAUGUUCUGUAGUUUAGCGGCGAACGGGUGAGUAACGCGUGGGCAACCUACCCAGAAGACCGGGACAACUCUGGGAAACCGGAGCUAAUACCGGAUACGCUCUUUAGGGGGCAUCCUUUAAGGAGGAAAGGGGGAACCCGCUUUUGGAUGGGCCCGCGUCCCAUUAGCUGGUUGGUGAGGUAACGGCUCACCAAGACGAUGAUGGGU
rnacentral:rRNA from 1 species